rnacentral:sRNA from 1 species
AGUUUUUCUAUCACGGGGACGGCGGAGUCAGUGCCGUUUCUCUUCGCGGUAGAUCUAUCGAAGGCCAGGAGGGCAGGUGCCACGGACGGCGCAUU